GAGUUUGAUCGUGGCUCAGGACGAACGCUGGCGGCGUGCCUAAUACAUGCAAGUCGAGCGAGGGUUUUUAAGACCCUAGCGGCGGACGGGUGAGUAACACGUAGGCAACCUGCCUCUCAGACCGGGAUAACAUAGGGAAACUUAUGCUAAUACCGGAUAGGUCUUUGGAUUGCAUGAUCCGAAAAAGAAAGAUGGCUUUUUAGCUAUCACUGGGAGAU
rnacentral:rRNA from 1 species